UGGGGAAUAUUGGACAAUGGGGGCAACCCUGAUCCAGCAAUGCCGCGUGUGUGAAGAAGGCCCUAGGGUUGUAAAGCACUUUCAAUUGGGAAGAAAAGUUCCGGGUUAAUACCCGUGGACCAUGACGGUACCUUUAGAAGAAGCACCGGCUAACUCCGUGCCAGCAGCCGCGGUAAUACGGAGGGUGCGAGCGUUAAUCGGAAUUACUGGGCGUAAAGCGCGCGUAGGCGGUUUGGUAAGUCAGAUGUGAAAGCCCCGGGCUCAACCUGGGAACUGCAUUUGAUACUGCCUGACUAGAGUAUGGUAGAGGGAAGUGGAAUUCCACAUGUAGCGGUGAAAUGCGUAGAGAUGUGGAGGAACACCAGUGGCGAAGGCGGCUUCCUGGACCAAUACUGACGCUGAGGUGCGAAAGCGUGGGGAGCAAA
rnacentral:rRNA from 1 species